CAUGCACCUCGGAUCUCUCAUCCUCACGGCCUUCCUGGGGCAACUGCUGGGCACCAUGGGACAAAUAACUGUCACCCAGCAAGAAGGACAAGUCACAGUGAAGCAGGGAGACACCUUCCAGACAACCUGCACAUACCAGACUUUCGACUUUAAUGGCUUGGUCUGGUACCAGCAGAGGAAAGGCCAAGGUCCCCAGCUGGUCUCCUAUCAGGCAACUGCUGGCCGCAAGCCCAGUGGCCGUCUCACCACCGUGCUGAACACCACCGAGAAAUACAGCCUCCUGCAGCUGGAGGAAGUCGAGCUCUCUGACAGUGCCUUGUACCUCUGUGCUGUGCGUGACACCCCGACCAUGCUCCCUCAUUCAGGGGACAAGUGGGAGAAUGAGGAUGAGAAGGGCUAUCCAGAGCAGGAGGAAUCCCCUUCUGCACAGGACUGUGAGCUGCUGGCCUCUCAGAACCUCCAGGAGCACUGGGGAGCACUCUCCAAGGGAAAGCAGUGA